UACGAAGGGGGCUAGCGUUGCUCGGAAUCACUGGGCGUAAAGCGCACGUAGGCGGCUUUCUAAGUCAGAGGUGAAAUCCUGGAGCUCAACUCCAGAACUGCCUUUGAUACUGGAAAGCUUGAGUUCGGGAGAGGUGAGUGGAACUGCGAGUGUAGAGGUGAAAUUCGUAGAUAUUCGCAAGAACACCAGUGGCGAAGGCGGCUCACUGGCCCGAUACUGACGCUGAGGUGCGAAAGCGUGGGGAGCAAAC
rnacentral:rRNA from 2 species